rnacentral:rRNA from 1 species
UUGAACGCUGGCGGCAUGCCUUACACAUGCAAGUCGAACGGCAGCACGGGAGCAAUCCUGGUGGCGAGUGGCGAACGGGUGAGUAAUAUAUCGGAACGUGCCCAGUCGUGGGGGAUAACGCAGCGAAAGCUGUGCUAAUACCGCAUACGAUCUGAGGAUGAAAGCGGGGGACCGUAAGGCCUCGCGCGAUCGGAGCGGCCGAUGUCAGAUUAGGUAGUUGGUGGGAUAAAAGCUUACCAAGCCGACGAUCUGUAGCUGGUCUGAGAGGACGACCAGCCACACUGGGACUGAGACACGGCCCAGACUCCUACGGGAGGCAGCAGUGGGGAAUUUUGGACAAUGGGCGAAAGCCUGAUCCAGCCAUGCCGCGUGCAGGAUGAAGGCCUUCGGGUUGUAAACUGCUUUUGUACGGAACGAAAAAGUCUUCUCUAAUACAGGGGGCGAAUGACGGUACCGUAAGAAUAAGCACCGGCUAACUACGU